rnacentral:rRNA from 1 species
ACUCAAAGGAAUUGACGGGGGCCCGCACAAGCGGUGGAACAUGUGGUUUAAUUCGACGCAACGCGAAGAACCUUACCUACCCUUGACAUGCUCGGAAUCUAGCAGAGAUGUUGGAGUGCCUUCGGGAGCCGAGACACAGGUGCUGCAUGGCUGUCGUCAGCUCGUGUCGUGAGAUGUUGGGUUAAGUCCCGUAACGAGCGCAACCCCUAUAGUUAGUUGCCACCAGGUAAAGCUGGGAACUCUAAGUAGACUGCCGGUGACAAGCCGGAGGAAGGUGGGGAUGACGUCAAGUCCUCAUGGCCCUUACGGGUAGGGCAACACACGUGUUACAAUGGAGAGUACAGAGGGAAGCGAAGUCGCGAGAUGGAGCGAAUCCUGAUAAAGCUGUUCGUAGUCCGGAUUGGAGUCUGCAACUCGACUCCAUGAAGUUGGAAUCGCUAGUAAUCGCGGAUCAGAACGCCGCGGUGAAUACGUUCCCGGGCCUUGCACACACCGCCCGU